rnacentral:rRNA from 1 species
GCCCUACGGGGCGCAGCAGUGAGGGAUAUUGGUCAAUGGGGGAAACCCUGAACCAGCAACGCCGCGUGAGGGAAGACGGUUUUCGGAUUGUAAACCUCUGUCCUCUGUGAAGAUAAUGACGGUAGCAGAGGAGGAAGCUCCGGCUAACUACGUGCCAGCAGCCGCGGUAAUACGUAGGGGGCAAGCGUUAUCCGGAUUCACUGGGCGUAAAGGGAGCGCAGGCGGCACGGCAAGUCUGGUGUGAAAACCCGGGGCUCAACCCCGGGACUGCAUUGGAAACUGCCGGGCCGGAGUGUCGGAGGGGG